GUUCGCUGAGUCUCCAAAAGACGAGAUGCAGAUACUCAGCGCUUGUGUGUGUGCCGUGGCAACGGAAAGCUUCACUCUCUUUUGGAUUCAAAUUAUUCCUCCUCCAGGUUCCCACCUAUCCUUACAGGGACACAACUCCAUACCCUCUCACGACAAAUGAUCUCCCUCCUCCACUGCCUAGCGUUUUUGGUUUUGUUUUCAAAUGGGAAGAGAGCAAGCCAUCUCAGGCAGCUGCUACCACAGAUUUUCCCUAUGUAAACUACCCCACAAAAUGUUCAUCUAAAUGUCUUCAGGGACUACCAUAUGGAAACUGACUUCAAAAACAACAUCCAAAGACAAGCUCUUAUUUUCUUCUCAAUUUAUUAUGUCUAUAAAACAAGAAUUUGGA